CACCAGGAAACAUGGUGCCUGUGUGUGUGUGUUAGACAGAGAGAGAUACUCAGAUAAAGUACCAUCUGCUGUGCUGUCUCACUGUCAGUUAAGACUUGUAUAAGACUGAUGGGUGACAACCCUUUUUGCUGAUGUGGCUGCAAAUCCGAGGACCGUAUUUCUGCAGAAGAUAUGUGUCGGGCUUUGUUACACCCAGAAAGGGGAAACUCUACAAGGCUGUUACAAAUCUUAACAAGUGCUGGGAAACACACUGCUGCGAUACACUAUGGAGAAAAAGGACGACACUAUGAGAUGCCUGAAGUGUCAGAAAGAGGCAAAAGGCUGCAAUCAAACGCGGGCCGCUGCGGUAAGGACUCAGCCUGGGGAGUGAGCUCUACCAGGGGAGCUACUGGGGUGCCCUGUGAAUGAAAGAUUUGAUAAGGGAUUUGUUGGCCACAGAGCUCAACAAAUCUGGGUAUCUUACUAACGUGGAUCCGGAUCCAAAAUAGAACUGUAAAUCAUGAA